GCCCAAGGUCACACAGCAGACAGUUGGUGGAGCCAGGAUCUGUAAAUUGGAAGUAAGAUUCUUUCUCUAGUGUGAAACAGGGACUGUGAUUUGAUUAUAUUGUAUUUUAGCCGGAUGGUUGGCACAUAUUAGGUCCUUUAUUAUUAUUAUUAUUAUCAUCAAAGCUUUCUCUGGAAAAUAGGAGGCUCUGGCCUUUUUCCUGACAGUGUCUUUUCUUCUCCCAAAAGGACAAAUUCAGCACUCCUUUCUAAGGCAAAGAGAAUCAAGCACCAGAAAAGGAGAGGGAAAGCUGCCAUCAAAUUGAUCCUGUCGGUGGUUCUGGGGAGGUAAUCAGAGAAGAGCAUACCAGCGGUUAGAGCCAGUGAGGGGAGCACUGCUCUUUUAAUCAACCUGCAUUCCAGACUCCGGAUUCACGGGUUUGCCAGGCCGAUCCUGUGCUGGGGAAGCUCGCUUUUCAUUGGCAACGUGAGAGACGAUCAGUCUGGACGCAGUCCUUUUUCCGCUUGGGCCCGCAGUCUGAGUAGGAAGGAGAACAGGUAAUGAAUCCCCAUUUUACAGAUGAGAAAAAUUGAAAGAUAAAGAAGUGAAGGGAUUGCCCAAGUUCACCCAGCGGGCAAGUGAUGGAGUGGAAUUAGAAUCCAGGACCUCCGACUCCCAGGCCCGUGCUCUUUCCAUUAUGCCACGUGUCCGAGACCACGUCGCCUCUCUAGCUACGCUGUUGACCAGGGAUGGAUUUGUCAAGCGAUGAUAUUUAUUGAACGCU
rnacentral:lncRNA from 1 species